AAUCGAUGAUCCUCGAUACACCUCACCAUUUUUUGCUUUUUUCUCAGCCUGUAUACCUCCGUCGCAAGCUUACCAUUUGAAUGCUCUCAAAGUAGGUCCAAAUCAGGGGCCCCAAAACACGCCAAUACGUCAGGUCAAGGUGCAGCUCAUAAAAUGGAAAGCAAUGGGCUACAAUUUCUAAUAUAGAACAAACGAAAAACUACAUGAAACAUAGUCAUGAAGGCGGAUUUAGCAGUAAAAGAAGAUUAGAGAGCUUCUUUUAACAUAGCCCUGGGACGUGUACACACCGCCCGUCACCCUCUUCAAUAGCAUAAAAAUGAAUACUUAAUAAUUUAUCCGCGCCUUAGAAGAGGUAAGUCGUAACAUGGUAAGUGUACUGGAAAGUGUACUUGGAU
rnacentral:rRNA from 1 species